AGUGCUGGCACUGGAAGGCUGUUUUGCCCCAUUUCUUCUACCCAAGUGCACCGCCAGCCCUUUUACAUCCUUUUGUGACUGGCUUGGCAGCCAAGGAUCGCAGUGCGAGACCAGCGCCUGCACAGGUUUGCUGGAAUCAUUCUAUAAUUGUGCCUUCUGCCUCUUUCUGACAGCAGAGGUGCUGGGAUCGUUAGGCACGAGAGCACUAAUGAAACAGAACCAGUCCCUGCCAUGUUUCCCACUUUCCCCCACUUUAUUGUCUAAUUCACAGCAGGGCAGUUCCACGUCCACUCUCUUGGGAUUGAAUUUAAGCAGAACUGCACUUAAUCACCUGUCUCAUUAAUCCCUAAUAUUCUGUGUGCAGACCUUGCUAACAGAGCUGUGCAGGAAGGCGGCGCUGAGCUGGGAAGGAAUUAAACAGCUUUACCCUAAUGAGACCCAAACCAGCAGUUUCCCAGCUGCCAAGGGCUGCAAUCCAGGCUGUGCUGGGGGACGUGGCCCAACAUCUCCCAUUGACCCACGUGUCAGAAGGAAGGACCAGCAGUGAGCUGGAGCAAGGCGAUGCUCCCUGCAGAUGGAGCUGGACCACGUUCAUGCCAACGAUUGCAUUGGGCAGUUCUCAUCCUGUAUGUGGGCGUCCCCAGGCUCUGGUGGCACACGGUGGUCACCACCACUUCCAUAUUAUCUGAAGCGAGUGUUCCUCUAGAGUUGCACUUCUUUCCCUGGAAGAUGCAGUGGUGGGGCCAAUCCCCACUCGCUGUUGGGCAUCUCCAUCUUCCCCAUGCCUGCCAGCCCCGGGAUGCAGCAGGAGGGAUGCGGCUGCAGAGGGAGCAUCGCCAUGGUUACAGGCACUCUACUCCUCUUGGAUUUAUUUAUUUAUUUUUUUAACCACUGCUCAGAUUGAAGCACUGCAAAGCAGCUGAGUAAAAGGUGCUGGGGUUUCAGACACCCCCCCCAGAAGAAGUCCGCAUACCUCAGGAUGGAGACUGAUGAGAGAGGAGCUAUGGUUGGCAGUUCCUUUCUUCUGUCCUAAAUCAGUCAAGCAGAAGUGUGCUGUUUGGCUCUAAACCAUCCCUUCGUGUUGUUCUCCCCAUAUUCCUCUGGAGGAACCUCCCACAGGCUCCAUCCUAAAAUCUCCAAACCAUCCCUCUGAUACAAUGUCUGUGGGGCUACAAAACCUAUCACUCUUCCCUGAUUUACCCAAUUAAACCUGAACUUAAAGAAUCACCCCUCCCCCCAGCUGAUGCCAAUUAGGUGGCACAUCUCAGGUGGUGAUGGUUGGGAUUGGACUGCGUGUGAACUGCUCUGCUUUGGGUGCCCUGCACUGGGGCAGUGCUCCUUGCUCCUCACUCCCAUUGGGACCCCACUGCUCUGCUCCAGCAGGAUGACCACGGCUGGCCGGGGUUUCCCCCAGAGUUUCAGCUAUGAAUGGUUGAGCACUUUACAACUCCAUUUCUGCCACGAGGCUCUAGAAGGGCUUUGGAUGUGAUGCAUAACGUCUUUCCAAGCAGCAGAAGGAAGCUGGGAAGACAGCAGGACAGCGCUGCCCCAUCCUUUCUGUACCCCGGCGCACAGACCCAGCACAGCCAGCUGCCCCUGCGGACAGGCUGAGAGAUGAGAGGGCUUUUUUUUUCCCCUGAUGACUGCCCUCCCUGUGAUCUUAGCCUCUAUUUGUAACAGCAGCAGAUCCAUGUCCGCAGACAAAAUCUGCUUUUCAAGCGACGAUGUCCCUUUUUAUAACAAAUGCUGCCAGCUCCUAGAAGUGAUAGCUCACCAUCGGCAAAAGGACACUGGGAUGCUCUCCGAGAUGCCGUGCCGAAUAGAUCUUCCACUGUACAGCAACAAAUCAAAUUUAGGGAGAAAGAAUUUGAAAACAAAUUACCAGUGAGAUAUUUCAAGCUGACAGCAAUUUGGAGCAACUUAGGUCUGUCUGGCCCGGGAACGCUCGGCAGUGCGGAGGAGGCAGUGCUUCUGUUCGGAUGCAGUCACUUCCUAAGAAUGAAGCCCAGCGUGUUUCUAGUAGAACGCUUCUCUCUGAGAGAGUGGGCAGUGAUGGUGAAUGAAAUGGUUGUGAGCCC
ensembl:lncRNA